UACGAAGGGGGCUAGCGUUGCUCGGAAUCGCUGGGCGUAAAGCGCACGUAGGCGGAUUGUUAAGUCAGGGGUGAAAUCCUGGAGCUCAACUCCAGAACUGCCUUUGAUACUGGCGAUCUCGAGUCCGGGAGAGGUGAGUGGAACUGCGAGUGUAGAGGUGAAAUUCGUAGAUAUUCGCAAGAACACCAGUGGCGAAGGCGGCUCGCUGGGACGUAACUGACGCUGAGACGCGAAAGCGUGGGGAGCAAACAGG
rnacentral:rRNA from 1 species